rnacentral:rRNA from 1 species
GACGAACGCUGGCGGCGUGCUUAACACAUGCAAGUCGAACGGAAAGGCCCUGCUUUUGUGGGGUGCUCGAGUGGCGAACGGGUGAGUAACACGUGGGUAACCUGCCCUUGACUUUGGGAUAACUUCAGGAAACUGGGGCUAAUACCGGAUAGGAGCUCCUGCUGCAUGGUGGGGGUUGGAAAGUUUCGGCGGUUGGGGAUGGACUCGCGGCUUAUCAGCUUGUUGGUGGGGUAGUGGCUUACCAAGGCUUUGACGGGUAGCCGGCCUGAGAGGGUGACCGGCCACAUUGGGACUGAGAUACGGCCCAGACUCCUACGGGAGGCAGCAGUGGGGAAUAUUGCACAAUGGGCGGAAGCCUGAUGCAGCAACGCCGCGUGCGGGAUGAAGGCCUUCGGGUUGUAAACCGCUUUCGCCUGUGACGAAGCGUGAGUGACGGUAAUGGGUAAAGAAGCACCGGCUAACUACGUG